rnacentral:rRNA from 1 species
GAUGAACGCUGGCGGCGUGCCUAAUACAUGCAAGUCGAGCGAACAGAUGAGGAGCUUGCUCCUCUGACGUUAGCGGCGGACGGGUGAGUAACACGUGGAUAACCUACCUAUAAGACUGGGAUAACUUCGGGAAACCGGAGCUAAUACCGGAUAAUAUAUUGAACCGCAUGGUUCAAUAGUGAAAGACGGUUUUGCUGUCACUUAUAGAUGGAUCCGCGCCGCAUUAGCUAGUUGGUAAGGUAACGGCUUACCAAGGCAACGAUGCGUAGCCGACCUGAGAGGGUGAUCGGCCACACUGGAACUGAGACACGGUCCAGACUCAUACGGGAGGCAGCAGUAGGGAAUCUUCCGCAAUGGGCGAAAGCCUGACGGAGCAACGCCGCGUGAGUGAUGAAGGUCUUCGGAUCGUAAAACUCUGUUAUUAGGGAAGAACAAAUGUGUAAGUAACCAUGCACGUCUUGACGGUACCUAAUCAGAAAGCCACGGCUAACUACGUG